rnacentral:rRNA from 1 species
UACAGAGGGUGCUAGCGUUGUUCGGAAUCAUUGGGCGUAAAGGGUCGUGUAGGCGGUUUGUUAAGUCAUGUGUGAAAUCCCUCGGCUCAACCGGGGAACGACGCAUGAAACUGGCAGCUAGAGUACCAAAGAGGGGGGUGGAAUUCCCGGUGUAGCGGUGAAAUGCGUAGAUAUCGGGGAGGAACACCUGUGGCGAAGGCGGCCCCCUGGUUGGAUACUGACGCUGAGACGCGAAAGCGUGGGGAGCAAACAGG